rnacentral:rRNA from 1 species
GACAGAGGGUGCAAACGUUGUUCGGAAUUACUGGGCGUAAAGCGCGUGUAGGCGGCCAUGCAAGUCGGAUGUGAAAGCCCUCGGCUCAACCGGGGAAGUGCACUCGAAACUGCGCAGCUAGAGUCCUGGAGAGGAAGGUGGAAUGCUUGGUGUAGAGGUGAAAUUCGUAGAUAUCAAGCGGAACACCGGUGGCGAAGGCGGCCUUCUGGACAGUGACUGACGCUGAGACGCGAAAGCGUGGGGAGCAAACAGG